AAGUCGUAACAAGGUAUCCGUAGGUGAACCUGCGGAUGGAUCAUUAACAAAGGAUUUACUCCAAUGUAUUGUGAAUUGUAUUGAAAUCACGGUCAGUCGGAGGGUUAUACUUGGCUGGUCGUACAAACAAACGUAUUAUUUUAAACUGAAGUCUAACUUUACAAAGGUAAAGACAACUUUUAGCAACGGAUCUCUUGGCUCUC
rnacentral:misc_RNA from 1 species